CGCCGCCCCGCUCCACCGCCCGGUCAAGGGAGCCGUUGGGAGGCGGUUGGGCGGGACAACGGCCACUGCCCGGAGGCCCCACCCCUGUCUGGGCUAGGUGGGCGGAGCUUUCCGACGCAAACGCGCGCGCGGAGCCCUUAAACCCAGACCCUCCAGGAGGCCGCCUGAGGUUCUAAAAGUUUUUCCCAAGGAAGCAAUCACAGAAGACGAAUGUGGCGUGUACAAGAAGUUCAUGGCAGCACUGUUUACAGGAGCAAGAGAUUAGAAGCAACCUAAGUGUCCAGUAAUGAGGGAGUAUAAACGGACUGAGGGUCAAUUCAACAUCAAGGGAAAGUUAUGGGCUGGAAACUGGAAGAGGCCACAGGGAGUCUUCUGGGUGCUGCAACACUCUAGACCUCAACCUGGGCCGUGGUCUCCUGAGGCAUGUACAUGUAGACUGGCCAGCCUUACAACGCUGUAAAGUGAACCCAAGGUUGGGCGGAGAUCAGCAGAAAAGUGCUUGUCUAGCAUGCCUGAGCCCUGGAUUCCACCCUCACCUCCACAAAAAAGAAAAAAUAAAGUAAAAGUAAAUCUCAAAAAGUAAAUAAAAGGAAACACACACACACACAUAUGCACACGUGUAUUUGUGAGAAUCAGCCAUUAAAAACCAGUACUGAAUAGCAUAAAGAUGGAUGAGAUUCUCCAAAUUUAAUUAAAAAAUGAUCAAACGAAGUAUAUUAACUACAUACAUUAUGAUCUUAAUUUUAGUUUUAUUAAAAUUAUACACACAAACACACACUUAUGCAUGUGAUACACAGAAAGAAUACUAGGAGAAAGGAAAACCAAAA